AGCGAACGUUAGCGGCGCGCCUAACACAUGCAAGUCGCACGAGAAAAGGGGCAACCCCGAGUAAAGUGGCGCACGGGUGCGUAACACGUAGGCAAACUCCCCCCGGGAGGGGGAUAACUAUCCGAAAGGGUGGCUAAUACCGCGUAAGACCACGGCGACUUCGGUCGCAGCGGUCAAAGGUGGCCUCUGCAUGCAAGCCACUGCCUGGGGAUGUGCCUGCGGCCCAUCAGCUUGUUGGCGGGGUAACGGCCCACCAAGGCGAAGACGGGUAGCUGGUCUGAGAGGACGAUCAGCCACACUGGCACUGGAACACGGGCCAGACUCCUACGGGGGGCAGCAGUGGGGAAUCUUGGAAAAUGGGCGCAAGCCUGAUCCAGCGACGCCGCGUGGGUGAUGAAGGCCUUCGGGUCGUAAAGCCCUGUUGGAGGGGGAAGAAAAAAGCGCGUUCGAACAGGACGCGUUCUUGACGGUACCCCUUCAGAAAGCACCGGCUAACUCUGUGCCAGCCGCCGCAGUAACAC
rnacentral:rRNA from 1 species